rnacentral:rRNA from 1 species
AGUGAACGCUGGCGGCGUGCCUAAUACAUGCAAGUCGAACGAAGUGGCGCACGGGUGAGUAAUAUAUAGUUAAUCUGCCCUACACAGAGGAACAACAGUUGGAAACGACUGCUAAUACCUCAUAGUGUAGGAUGAGACUAUAUCGUAUCAGCUAGUUGGUAAGGUAAUGGCUUACCAAGGCUAUGACGCGUAACUGGUCUGAGAGGAUGAUCAGUCACAUUGGAACUGGGACACGGUCGAAACUCCUACGGGAGGCAGCAGUAAGAAAUAAUGCGCAAUGGACGAAACCCUACGGCAGCGCCGCCGCGGUAAUUC